rnacentral:rRNA from 1 species
GUGAACGCUGGCGGCAGGCCUAACACAUGCCAGUCGAGCGGCAGCGGGUCCUUCUGGAUGCCGGCGAGCGGCGGACGGGGGAGGAAUGCGUCGGAAUCUGCCUUUUUGUGGGGGAUAACGAAGGGAAACUUACGCUAAUACCGCAUACGACCUACGGGUGAAAGUGGGGGUCCGCAAGGCCUCACGCAGAAAGAUGAGCCGACGUCGGAUUAGCUAGUUGGCGGGGUAAAGGCCCACCAAGGCGACGAUCCGUAGCUGGUCUGAGAGGAUGAUCAGCCACACUGGAACUGAGACACGGUCCAGACUCCUACGGGAGGCAGCAGUGGGGAAUAUUGGACAAUGGGCGCAAGCCUGAUCCAGCCCUGCCGCGUGUGUGAAGAAGGCCUUCGGGUUGUAAAGCACUUUUGUCCGGAAAGAAAUCCUGUCGGCUAAUACCCGGCGGGGAUGACGGUACCGGAAGAAUAAGCACCGGCUAACUUCGUG